GUUACUAUAUCCCCAGUGCUUGUAUCUGGCACACACUACCAAUAAUUGUGUGGAAUGCAGCAAACAUGGAGAGAGAGAGCCCAGCAGACGUGGAAGUGGGUGAAAUAACCCAACAGCUUUAACAGUGCAGAUGGAAAGAAAAUCCUCCAGCAUGGAAAGAAAAUACAUCUCAUCACCGCAACCAUUUUCACUCAAGACAGUCAAUAGACUAGUCGAGGCAGAAUUCGGAUGAUGGUUUAGAGGAUUCUUCCCUAUUCUACUAGCAGAUACUGGUGGGAUGCUCAGAAUCACAGCCAUCUUGAAUCCUGUAUUUUCCAACUAUGCUGGAAUGAAGGGCAUCCAUGGACCAUAUGAAACACUCCUCACAGCUUCCAUAUGUCUCAGUGCAGUGAACAUCAGGCAUGGCCCUCAGCAGGCAGCCCCUGCCCAAGGCAACAUGUGGAAGUGGAUUCUGGUCUUCAGGGCUUCCAGCAUUCACUUUUGUUCCCCAUCUGUCUCUCUUCUCACAUAUGUCCCUCCUUAGGUCCCAGAAGCUAUGAAUGGAUCAUAAAUCAGUGCCCUGGCCACAAAGGAUCCCAGGAACAUGAGAUUCAGACAUUGUCUUCUUCUAUACUGCUUGGUAGGUUCUGUACUAACCAUGUCUUUUAUUUCCUAUAUUCUGAUGCUUUGAUAUCU
rnacentral:lncRNA from 1 species